UACGUAGGGUGCAAGCGUUAAUCGGAAUUACUGGGCGUAAAGCGUGCGCAGGCGGUAAUGUAAGACAGAUGUGAAAUCCCCGGGCUCAACCUGGGAACUGGCAUUUGUGACUGGCAUUGCUGGAGUGCGGCAGAGGGGGAUGGAAUUCCGCGUGUAGCAGUGAAAUGCGUAGACUAUGCGGAGGAACACCGAUGGCGGAAGGCAAUCCCCUGGGCCUGCAC
rnacentral:rRNA from 1 species